CAUAGAAUCUUGUUAAGAACUUGUACUUCUCUUUCAGAUAUCUUCAGAUUUUGUUGAAAGCUGUUGUGCAGGUCCCAGCUAUUCCAUGUCUUCAUGGCAGAUGAGAAGUGCAUGGCUGUCUGUAAGCAGAGUGUAAAAGAUGGAACAGAUUGUUUUCUUAGGUGCACACAGGCUGACACUGAAGAUGCACACGUGCCAUUGAAAUAAACCAAGAGUAUUGUGUGGCUUCCAGAGCCCUGCCUGUACCUGCACCUUUUCCUCUUCCACUCAAGAACUCAUGUUAGCAGAUCACCGGUUUUAUUGACAACAGUCAUCAGCACCAGAGAAGAAGGACCCUAAUUGUCUCUGACUUUCAGAACAGAUAAUUGUUCUUCUCCUAGAUCACAAGUUCUGUAGUGUUGAGACCUCUUCAGCUGUUGUCAGAGGCUGUUCUGUCA
rnacentral:lncRNA from 1 species